rnacentral:lncRNA from 1 species
UCUCAUGAUCCGUCAGUCACGUAAGGUAUUGUUUGUUCUGAUCCAUGGAUCUCACGAUUUUAUUUUUUAAAAAAUAUCUCAUAUGAAAAAAAAAUUUUCUUUCUUAUAAGUACGAGUCUUUUUGACUCACAACCGAUGUAGAAUUAUUGAUAUUUUUUAUAUUAUUAAAAUUAUAAUAAAAAUUAUAUUAUUUAAAAUAAAAUAAUUAGAUCCGG